UACAGAGGGUGCGAGCGUUAAUCGGAAUUACUGGGCGUAAAGCGCGCGUAGGCGGCUUUGCAAGUCGAGUGUGAAAUCCCCAGGCUUAACCUGGGAACUGCAUUCGAGACUGCACGGCUAGAGUGUGUCAGAGGGGGGUAGAAUUCCACGUGUAGCAGUGAAAUGCGUAGAGAUGUGGAGGAAUACCGAUGGCGAAGGCAGCCCCCUGGGAUAACACUGACGCUCAUGCACGAAAGCGUGGGGAGCAAACAGG
rnacentral:rRNA from 1 species